rnacentral:hammerhead_ribozyme from 1 species
AUCCAGCUGACCACGAGUCCCAAAUAGAACGAAAUGCACAUCCUGACUGGAU